rnacentral:rRNA from 1 species
AGAGUUUGAUCAUGGCUCAGAAUCAACGCUGGCGGCGUGCCUAACACAUGCAAGUCGAACGGGAAAGGGGAGCAAUCCCUGAGUAUAGUGGCGACCGGGUGAGUAACACGUGACUACCUGCCCUUGAGUGGGGGAUAACCUCGGGAAACCGAGGCUAAUACCGCAUAAUAUCGCAAGAUCAAAGGAGCAAUCCGCUUUUGGAGGGGGUCGCGGCUGAUUAGCUAGUUGGUGAGGUAAUGGCUCACCAAGGCGAAGAUCGGUAUCCGGCCUGAGAGGGCGCACGGACACACUGGAACUGAAACACGGUCCAGACUCCUACGGGAGGCAGCAGUGGGGAAUUUUGCGCAAUGGGGGAAACCCUGACGCAGCAACGCCGCGUGGAGGAUGAAGCCCCUUGGGGCGUAAACUCCUUUCGACCGGGAAAAUAAUGAUGGUACCGGUGGAAGAAGCACCGGCUAACUCUGUGCCAGCAGCCGCGGUAAUACAGAGGGUGCGAGCGUUGUUCGGAAUUAUUGGGCGUAAAGGGCGCGUAGGCGGUGCGGUAAGUCACCUGUGAAACCUCUGGGCUUAACUCAGAGCCUGCAGGCGAAACUGCCGUGCUGGAGGGUGGGAGAGGUGCGUGGAAUUCCCGGUGUAGCGGUGAAAUGCGUAGAGAUCCGGAAGAACACCGGUGGCGAAGGGGCCUGCUGGGCAGUAGCUGACGCUGAUGCGCGACAGCGUGGGGAGCAAACAGGAUUAGAUACCCUAGUAGUCC